AGCCCACCAAGGCUACGACGGGUAGGCUGGUCUUAGAGGACGACCAGCCACACUGGAACUGAGACACGGUCCAGACACCUACGGGUGGCAGCAGUCGAGAAUCUUUCACAAUGGGGGCAACCCUGAUGGAGCGACGCCGCGUGGAGGAUAAGGUCUUCGGAUUGUAAACUCCUGUCAUGCGAGAACAAGGUUGCGGGGCUAACACCGCCGCAAAUUGAUGGUACCGCAAGAGGAAGAGACGGCUAACUCUGUGCCAGCAGCCGCGGUAAUACAGAGGUCUCAAGCGUUGUUCGGAAUCACUGGGCGUAAAGGGUGCGUAGGUGGCGUGGCAAGUCAGAUGUGAAAGCCCGGGGCUCGAACCUCGGAAUUGCAUCCGAUACUGCCAUGCUAGAGUACUGAGAGGUGACUAGAAUUCUAGGUGUAGCAGUGAAAUGCGUAGAUAUCUAGAGGAAUACCAACGGCGAAGGCAGGUCAC
rnacentral:rRNA from 1 species